AGUGAACGCUGGCGGCAGGCCUAACACAUGCAAGUCGAACGGCAGCACAGAGGAGCUUGCUCCUUGGGUGGCGAGUGGCGGACGGGUGAGGAAUGCGUCGGAAUCUGCCUUUUUGUGGGGGAUAACGUAGGGAAACUUACGCUAAUACCGCAUACGACCUACGGGUGAAAGUGGGGGACCGCAAGGCCUCACGCAGAAAGAUGAGCCGACGCCGGAGUAGCUAGUUGGCGGGGUAAAGGCCCACCAAGGCGACGAUCCGUAGCUGGUCUGAGAGGAUGAUCAGCCACACUGGGACUGAGACACGGCCCAGACUCCUACGGGAGGCAGCAGUGGGGAAUAUUGGACAAUGGGCGCAAGCCUGAUCCAGCCAUGCCGCGUGUGUGAAGAAGGCCUUCGGGUUGUAAAGCACUUUUGUCCGGAAAGAAAUCCUUUCGAUUAAUACUCGGGAGGGAUGACGGUACCGGAAGAAUAAGCACCGGCUAACUUCGUGCCAGCCGCCGCGGUAACAC
rnacentral:rRNA from 1 species